CGAAAGAAAAAAAAAGAGAGAGAGAGAGAGAGAAACAAAAUGAAUUAUAUUUGAAUGUGCAUUCGCAAGAUGGCGACGGAUAGUGCAAAACUAAGAGCGUACCGAAAUGACGGAAUAAAUAGUAAACAUUGGCGCUGCAAUCGGAACGGCAUGGGUAAAGACGAACGACGGGCGGAAGAUGCGCGUAGAGUCAUUGCGCAGGCUCUUGUUUUGCUCGACAGUAUAACGGCAAGGGACGUGGAGGAGAGUUCGUUAUUGGUUGGAGUUAAGUGAAGUGGGGUGAGAGGAGUGGAGAGGGGAUAGCGAGGCACGCUCUCACGGGGCAUGGCGUGGUGUGCGUUCUAGUAAACAACUUGUGCGCGACUCGCGCGGAUAGAAUUCGUUUGGUCUCGACAAAUUUUUCCUCCUUUUUUUUCUCUUUCUUAUUUAUAUAUAUAUAUAUACAUGUAUAUAUAUAUAUGUAUGUCUCUAUGUGUGUGUUAUGUGUAUAUGGAUAAGUACAUGUAUGGAUACAAACAAAUACAGUAAUAAAAGAAGACAGACAGACACGCGUACACAGAGAAAGAAAGAAAGAGAAAGAGAGAGAGUGAAAGAGACAUAAACAGAUUAAUAAAAAUAUAUAAAAGUGUUGUGUGUUGGUGUAUAUAAAUUGUACUAUUAAUGAGCAUGGAAUGCCGAGUAAAUAUUCUACGUAUCUUAUGUGUGUGUGUAUGUGUAUGUGUAUUUUCGUGAAUUUUGUGUGUAUACAUGUGUUACUUUAUUAAACAAAGAAGAAAAUAAAUAAAUAAAUAAAUAAAUAAAUAUAUAUAUAUACAUACAUAUAUACGUACACAUACAUACGUACAUUCAUACAUAUGUAACUAUACGACGACGAUAUUCGAAUGGAAUAACUUUCGAAUAUCACCGAAGUGGACAUCGUGGAUGAAAAUAGAGCAUCUUCAAGGGAUUUUCAAUCGUGGGUGAUGGUACGCCGCACCAUUUUAUCGUCGUCAACAACGUUGUCGUCGUCGUCAACAUCAUCAACAUCGUCAACGUCGUAGACGUCUUAGUGCCGUCGUAACACGCCGUCUCGAAAGUAACGCCAUCGGGGAUCCAAAAAAAAAAAAAAAAAGAAAAGAAAAAGAAAAAAGAAGAAGAAGAAGAAGAAAAAAGAAGAAAAUACGGAAAAUAAAAGGGAGACAGAUAGAGCACUAGCAACGAACAAUAACGUCAACAACAACAACAACAACAGCAACAACAGCAACUUUUAAGAGCCGCUACGAGAUUGACUAAUCGAAUAAACGGCAAUUAGGAAUACGUCGUGCUAACGACGCACGACGUAUCGAACGAUCUCUUGAUGGGAGGACGUAGAAAAAGACGAAGAUUGGCCACGAUCGAGAAAGGAGGAGUAUUAAUAAUAAUAACUGUACUAGUGGUAACAGUCGUCGUUAUUAUUUUUCUUAUUAUUAUUCUUCCACAAUUAUUUGAAUCGACGUUGUCGUCAUUGUCAUCGUUGUCGUCGUCAUUGAUAAUAGAUUCGUCGAAGAAAUCAAUGAACAAAGUUUCUACGUCAACGAGAAAAACAA